GGGCCCAUAGCUUAGCUGGUAGAGCGUCGCGUUUGCAUCGCGAAGGUCAGGAGUUCGAAUCUCCUUGGGUCCA
rnacentral:tRNA from 1 species